rnacentral:rRNA from 1 species
AGCGAACGCUGGCGGCAGGCCUAACACAUGCAAGUCGAGCGCCCCGCAAGGGGAGCGGCAGACGGGAGAGUAACACGUGGGAACGUACCCUUCGGUUCGGAACAACCCAGGGAAACUUGGGCUAAUACCGGAUACGUCCGUAAGGAGAAAGAUUCAUCGCCGAAGGAGCGGCCCGCGCCGGAUUAGCUAGUUGGUGAGGUAACGGCUCACCCAGGCGACGAUCAGUAGCUGGUCUGAGAGGAUGAUCAGCCUCACUGGGACUGAGACACGGCCCAGACUCCUACGGGAGGCAGCAGUGGGGAAUAUUGGACAAUGGGCGCAAGCCUGAUCCAGCCACGCCGCGUGGGUGAUGAGGGCCCUAGGGUUGUAAAGCCCUUUCGGCGGGGAAGAUAAUGACGGUACCCGCAGAAGAAGCCCCGGCUAACUUCGUGCCAGCCGCCGCGGUAACAC